AGAGUUGUAUCCUGGCUCAGGAUGAACGCUGGCGGUAUGCCUUACACAUGCAAGUCGUACGAGAGUUUUUAACUCAAGUGGCGGACGGGUGAGUAACACGUAAGAAUUUACCUUUAGGAGGGGGAUAACAACUGGAAACGGUUGCUAAUACCCCAUAUGCUUUCGAGUGAAAUGGGUUUCCGCCUAAAGAAAAGCUUGCGGCUGAUUAGCUUGUUGGUGAGGUAAUGGCUCACCAAGGCGACGAUCAGUAUCUGGUUUGAGAGGAUGAUCAGACACACUGGAACUGAGACACGGUCCAGACUCCUACGGGAGGCAGCAGUGGGGAAUUUUCCGCAAUGGGCGAAAGCCUGACGGAGCAAUACCGCGUGAGGGAUGACGGCCUAUGGGUUGUAAACCUCUUUUUUCAGGGAGGAAUCAAUGACGUGUACCUGAAGAAUAAGCAUCGGCUAACUCCGUGCCAGCAGCCGCGGUAAGACGGAGGAUGCAAGUGUUAUCCGGAAUCACUGGGCGUAAAGCGUCUGUAGGUGGUCAAAUAAGUCAACUGUUAAAUCUUGAGGCUCAACCUCAAAACCGCAGUCGAAACUAUUAGACUAGA
rnacentral:rRNA from 1 species